GACGAACGCUGGCGGCGUGCUUAACACAUGCAAGUCGAACGGUGAAGCGCCUUCCUUUUUGGUGGGUGUGGAUGAGUGGCGAACGGGUGAGUAACACGUGAGUAACCUGCCCCCUUCUUCUGGAUAACCGCAUGAAAGUGUGGCUAAUACGGGAUAUUCUGGGUCUGUCGCAUGAUGGGUCUGGGAAAGAUAUUGUUUCGGUGUGGGAUGGGCUGGCGGCCUAUCAGCUUGUUGGUGGGGUGAUGGCCUACCAAGGCGGUGACGGGUAGCCGGCCUGAGAGGGUGGGCGGUCACACUGGGACUGAGGCACGGCCCAGACUCCUACGGGAGGCAGCAGUGGGGAAUAUUGCACAAUGGGCGCAAGCCUGAUGCAGCGACGCCGCGUGAGGGAUGGAGGCCUUCGGGUUGUGAACCUCUUUCGCCAGUGAAGCAGGCCUGCCUCGUUUGUGGGUGGGUUGACGGUAGCUGGAUAAGAAGCGCCGGCUAACUACGUG
rnacentral:rRNA from 1 species